CAGCACCUCAAGUGGUCAGGAUGAUUAUUGGGCCUAAAGCAUCCGUAGCCGGCGCUGUAAGUUUUCGGUUAAAUCUAUACGCUCAACGUACAGGCUGCCGGGAAUACUGCAGCGCUAGGGAGUGGGAGAGGUAGACGGUACUCGGUAGGAAGGGGUAAAAUCCUUUGAUCUAUUGAUGACCACCUGUGGCGAAGGCGGUCUACCAGAACACGUCCGACGGUGAGGGAUGAAAGCUGGGGGAGCAAACCGGAUUAGAGACCCGAGUAGUCC
rnacentral:rRNA from 1 species